rnacentral:rRNA from 1 species
GGUCUAAUACUUCAUAAUAUCCAUCUCGUAUGGAUUAAAGCUUUAUGCGCUUUGGGAGGGGCCUGCGUAACAUUAGCUUGUUGGUGAGGUAAAAGCUCACCAAGGCUUCGAUGUUUAACUGGUUUGAGAGGAUGACCAGUCACACUGGGACUGAGAUACGGCCCAGACUCCUACGGGAGGCAGCAGUAAGGAAUCUUCCACAAUGGGGCAACCCUGAUGGAGCAAUACCGCGUGCAGGAUGAAGCGUUUCGGCGUGUAAACUGCUUUUAUCACCGAAGAUUAUGACUGUAGGUGAAGAAUAAGGACCGGCUAACUACGUG